AGGAUGAAUGCUGGCGCGGCGCCUAACGACGAUGCAAGUCGAGCGGAAAGGCCCUUCGGGGUACUCGAGCGGCGGACGGCUGAGUAACGCGUGGGAACAUGCCCCAAAGUGAGGAAUAACUGCCCGAAAGGGUAGCUAAUGCCGCAUAUGAUCUUCGGAUUAAAGGAUUUAUCCGCUUUGGGAGUGGCCCGCGUACGAUUAGGUAGUUGGUGAGGUAAAGGCUCACCAAGCCCACGAUCGUUAACUGGUCUGAGAGGAUGAUCAGUCAGACUGGAACUGAGACACGGUCCAGACUCCUACGGGAGGCAGCAGUGAGGAAUCUUCCACAAUGGGCGAAAGCCUGAUGGAGCGACGCCGCGUGCAGGAUGAAGGCCUUCGGUUGUAACUGCUUUUAUAGUGAAGAAUAUGACGGUAACUUAUGAAUAAGCACCGGCUAACUACGCGCCAGCAGCCGC
rnacentral:rRNA from 1 species